AACGACUCUCGGCAACGGAUAUCUCGGCUCUCGCAUCGAUGAAGAACGUAGCGAAAUGCGAUACUUGGUGUGAAUUGCAGAAUCCCGUGAACCAUCGAGUCUUUGAACGCAAGUUGCGCCCGAAGCUGUAAUAGGCCGAGGGCACGUCUGGCUGGGUGUCACACAACG
rnacentral:rRNA from 1 species